ensembl:snRNA U6 U6 spliceosomal RNA
GUGUUGGCUUCAGCAUCAUGUCUACUAAAACUGGAAUGGUACAGAAGAGAUCAAUAUGGCCCCAGUGCAAGGAUGACAUGCAAGUUUGUGUAACAUUCCAUUUAGGU